rnacentral:rRNA from 1 species
GAUGAACGCUGGCGGCGUGCCUAAUACAUGCAAGUAGAACGCUGAAGGAGGAGCUUGCUCUUCUGGAUGAGUUGCGAACGGGUGAGUAACGCGUAGGUAACCUGCCUGGUAGCGGGGGAUAACUAUUGGAAACGAUAGCUAAUACCGCAUGACAACAGUUAUUGCAUGAUAACUGUUUAAAAGGGGCAACUGCUCCACUACCAGAUGGACCUGCGUUGUAUUAGCUAGUUGGUGAGGUAACGGCUCACCAAGGCGACGAUACAUAGCCGACCUGAGAGGGUGAUCGGCCACACUGGGACUGAGACACGGCCCAGACUCCUACGGGAGGCAGCAGUAGGGAAUCUUCGGCAAUGGACGGAAGUCUGAACGAGCAACGCCGCGUGAGGGAAGAAGGUUUUCGGAUCGUAAAGCUCUGUUGUAAGAGAAGAACGAGUGUGAGAGUGGAAAGUUCACACUGUGACGGUAUCUUACCAGAAAGGGACGGCUAACUACGUG